rnacentral:lncRNA from 1 species
AUGACCUUAAAAGUGAAACUUCUGUCCUCGCCAGGAGAUUUUGGUCCAGAAAUUAAUAAAACCAUCACGAAGAAUGAUCAAGUUUGGACUAAGAUUAUUGGCUACAUAAUGUAGCUAGGCGUUGCCCAUUUUAUGAAGUAUAAGCCUGUCAUAUGCAAACUCAAUCCAGCCUUUUGGAUCACUUGCAAAUGAGGAAUAGUUUCUCUAAACGCUUCCAAAUUUUUCAUCUGCAGAAUGCCUUACAAGUUACAACCCUUUCUAAACUAUGUCAACAUUCUUUGUACCAUCUCAUAUACUUAGUCCGAGUGUCUUGAAACUUAAAAAACACAAGUUCAUAUUUUAGUUGUAUAAAUUUAUAAAUACGAAUUUUUAUUGAUAAGUUUGCAUUUUCAAAUAUCUAAAUUAUGUGUAUAUAUAAUUUAUAUAAUUAAUUAAAAUUUUAAACUAUACAUUAUCAAAU